UACAGAGGUCUCAAGCGUUGUUCGGAUUUAUUGGGCGUAAAGCGUGCGUAGGCGGCGGGGUAAGUGAGGUGUGAAAUCCCGGAGCUUAACUCCGGAACUGCACUUUAUACUGCCUUGCUCGAGGGCUGGAGAGGAGACUGGAAUUUACGGUGUAGCGGUGAAAUGCGUAGAUAUCGUAAGGAAGACCAGUGGCGAAGGCGGGUCUCUGGACAGUUCCUGACGCUGAGGCACGAAGGUCAGGGGAGCAAACGGG
rnacentral:rRNA from 1 species